rnacentral:rRNA from 1 species
CAAGUCGAACGAGAAAGCCCGCAAGGGUGAGUAAAGUGGCGUACGGGUGAGUAACACGUGGAUAAUCUACCCUCUAGCGGGGAAUACCGCUGGGAAACCGGCGACAAUACCGCAUAAGCUCGAGAGAGGAAAGCAGCAAUGCGCUGGAGGAGGAGUCCGCGGCUGAUUAGCUAGUUGGUGAGGUAAUGGCUCACCAAGGCAAAGAUCAGUAGCCGGCCUGAGAGGGCACACGGCCACACUGGCACUGAAACACGGGCCAGACUCCUACGGGAGGCAGCAGUGGGGAAUCUUGCACAAUGGGGGAAACCCUGAUGCAGCGACGCCGCGUGAGCGAUGAAGCCCUUCGGGGUGUAAAGCUCUUUCGGCAGGGAAGAUGAUGACGGUACCUGCAGAAGCAGCUGCGGCUAACUACGUGCCAGCAGCCGCGGUAAUACGUAGGCAGCAAGCGUUGUUCGGAGUUACUGGGCGUAAAGGGUGUGUAGGCGGUUGGAUAAGUGUGGUGUGAAAUCUCCCGGCUCAACUGGGAGGGUGCGCUACAAACUGUCUGACUAGAGUGUGGGAUGGGUAAGUGGAAUUCCUGGUGUAGCGGUGAAAUGCGUAGAUAUCAGGAGGAACACCGGUGGUGUAGACGGCUUACUGGACCAUAACUGACGCUGAGACACGAAAGCGUGGGUAGCAAACAGGAUUAGAUACCCUGGUAGUCCACGCCCUAAACGAUGCAUAUUUGGUGUGGGUCAUUCAUUUGAUCCGUGCCGGAGCUAACGCGUUAAAUAUGCCGCCUGGGGAGUACAGUC